rnacentral:rRNA from 2 species
UUGGGAAUCUUGCGCAAUGGGGGCAACCCUGACGCAGCGACGCCGCGUGCGGGAUGACGGUCUUCGGAUUGUAAACCGCUUUUCCUGGAGACGAUAAUGACGGUAUCCAGGGAAUCAGCCCCGGCUAACUCCGUGCCAGCAGCCGCGGUAAGACGGAGGGGGCAAGCGUUGUCCGGAAUUACUGGGCGUAAAGAGCUCGUAGGCGGUCGCUUACGGCGGUGGUGAAAGCUCCCGGCUCAACUGGGAGAGGCCCGCCGCAACGGAGCGACUCGAGGGUGGUAGAGGCAGAUGGAAUUCCUGGUGUAGCGGUGAAAUGCGUAGAGAUCAGGAGGAACACCCGUGGCGAAGGCGGUCUGCUGGGCCACAUCUGACGCUGAGGAGCGAAAGCCAGGGGAGCGAACGGG